rnacentral:rRNA from 1 species
CCUACGGGAGGCUGCAGUAGGGAAUUUUCGGCAAUGGGGGGAACCCUGACCGAGCAACGCCGCGUGAAGGAAGAAGGAAUUCGUUCUGUAAACUUCUGUUAUAAAGGAAGAAAGACGGAUGGAGGAAAUGACAUCCGAGUGACGGUACGUUAUGAGAAAGCCACGGCAAACUACGUGCCAGCAGCUGCGGUAAUACGUAGGUGGCAAGCGGUAUCGGGAAUUAUUGGGCGAAAAGAGGGAGCAGGGGGCAGCAAAGGUCUGGGGUGAAAGACUGAAGCUAAACUUCAGUAAGCCAUAGAAACCGGGCAGCUAGAGUGCAGGAGAGGAUAGUGGAAUUCCAUGGGUAGCGGUGAAAUGCGUAGAUAGAUGGAGGAACACCAGUGGCGAAGGCGACGAUCUGGCCUGCAACUGACGCUCAGUCCCGAAAGCGUGGGGAGCAAAUAGGAUUAGAUACCCGAGUAGGC